GAUCUAGUCGUACAACUGAAGGAAUUUCUUCAUGAAGAGGAUAACCGAAGAGUCGCCAUGCAGCCUCUGUCGGUCCAAUAUACCUUGCAUCAAGGUAUUGCUUUAUCUCAUUAUUUCCAUCUGGUCCCUCUAAAACCAUAGUUGUGCGGUCAUGACCUUUGUAAAUGUACUUGUGGAUAUAUUUGACGCACCUCAUUCCUGCACAAACCUCCACAUUUAUAUGACAGUUGAACUUUCUUGAUAGGUGUGGAUUGUAAGGUACGACGUCUCGAUUAUCAAAUGUAUGCCCUCUAGUGGUGUAAGACUGGCCAUUACGGCGACGACGGUAAAUAGGGUACCCAUGUUCAUCCAUAGUAGUCGAAUCUGCAAAGGCUUUUGGAUAAUGGAACCGGCAUGCACCGUUAACCAUGCAAGUUGAAUAAGGGUUUCGAGAACCACAGGAACCAUGAACCAUACAACUCUUGAUUGUUUCGUACAGAGUUGGAUCAGUGGAUGGAUCUGGGAAUUCAGCACUAACUAACCGAUCCACUUGUGCAGUUGUCUGAAUCUUGUCAGGGCCAUGAAGAAAGAAUAAAGCAUGCAUAUGUGGUAACCCUCGUUUUUGGAACUCAAUGGUGAAUACAUGAGCAACUUUUCGACCAAAAAUCUGUUCAUUUUUUACCUCAUGCAUCAGGGCACGCCGUUUUAACUCAAAUACACGGGCAACUAUGUCUGGACGAUCCAAAGAGGUUUGGUGUUCUAGUAAGGCAGCUGUUAUUUCGGGCCAUUUUGGGUUGGCCGUCAUGGUGAGAAAGAUGUCAGGGUGUUGGUGGUACCUUGUAAUGGCCAUAGAGUCAUGAAAAAUCUGGCUCAUGUUACGUGCACUCCCAGUAAAGGACGAUGGCAGAACAAAGCGUUGUCCGAUCUGAUCGGGGCCCAACUCAUCAACACUGCCGUCACACAAAUUUGCAUAAAUCUCACGACGCAACUUAUCCUGAUUGAGUCUGAUGUAAGACAACCUGUUUUGCUCCGUUGAUGCCCAAGCAUCUACUAUAAACUCUUGAAAUAACUUUCCUCCUCUAAGAAUCGUCGAAUACUCGGUGGGACGUGGAAACAUACGAUAGCUGUAAAAUUGCAUCUGUGUCAUCCUUCUUACUGCAAAAUCAUUUUGUUCGGAGUUCCACUGUCGUAGACCAGGUUCCCAACCAAGCUCACCAGUAGGGAAUAAAAGUACAUAGUGUAAUGGUAAAUAUGCUGGAUGACACUCAUUGAUCUGGCUCAGGGCUCUAUUAUCUCCUUUUAGGUGCAGAACAAUAUCCCGCAUACCACUACUCUCACUACCAUCACCAGGCAAAAUCACAGCUAUUUCAUCAGUGGUUGGAAGAUUGUACCGAUGCCUAUCAGUUGAUGAGGUGUAAUGAAGGUGAGCACGUAAAUCAUGAUCUGAAGAUUCUGACUCAGUUAGUAUUUCAUGGGCACGUUUGUACUUUGAAGCAAAAUGAUUCACUGACAACAAACAAUUCUGUAUAGUGUGGAGGACAUCUCGACAUAAGUUAUUAUUCUGCGCACACCGAAUAUUCAAUGCAGUGGUUGGGUCAUAUAUGUACAACUGACAGUAGAUGGGUGCGCGACCAUCCGGGGGUAACAAUGACCCGGUACGGUGUCGUAAUUCUCCAUAGAUAGUGAAUGAUGUUGGCCCUCUUGAGUUGAGUAAUCUGUCAUCAAGCUUAGCACCCAAGCUCGUGAAAGCAUUAGCUGCAUUGUACUCCCUAAUAUGCCGACGAAAUGAUUUUGCUUGACCAUCAUGGCCAUCGUACAAUGCACGAAUAGGAGGUGGGGGUGCAAUGAGUUCCGGUAACUUAAUUUUGCCUUGUAGACAACAUGUUCCGAAUCUUGGAUUAGACAAUCCUGUGCGAGACAAUCGUUCAUCCCGCCAAUGUAAGGCUGAACAAUAAGGACACUGAAUAUUCAUAGGCCCGAGAAAAUGACGCUCAUUAUUGACAGGGACAAUAAUAUUCAUUUCGUCAUCACUAAACAUACAGUCAACAUCGCUAAAGGGUUCUGGUGGGAAUCUACAAAUAAAAAAUAAUAUGUACACAAAUAUGAGAAGUAAGAAAAUAGUAGGCAACUAAUAAACUAUGUAGAAUAUACAUACAUUGUUAGAUCUGCCAGAACAGGAGACGACGUCAAGAGGACAUUGUCGUUAGUUUGAUGAGAAUGCGGUUCUACAUCGGGGACAACUUCAUAUUGAGCAAAGUCUGUCUCUAAAUUUCGAGGCGAGGAUAAAGGUCGCACCAGAACAGGUGAGAAUAGAGCAAAGUCAGUUGGAAUAAAAAUUGGGUCGGACGCAAUUGUAGGUGUUAGAUAGCAUUCCAAAUUAUUUGUCCGCGACCUUUUUUGUGGAAGGUGUGCGAUAGUGGCUCGGUGCAAUGGAGUUAGGUCUUGCAAAACAUGACAUAACGGUUGUGGGGGAGUGUAAAUCACCGGCAUUUUCCUAUGCAACUAUCCAACAGGGGAAAAAGACAAUAUAUUACAACUUAAUCAAAAAACUUACCAAAGAGGUAGACAUAUUUUCUUUUCCAUUUUUCCGACAAUUAGUGGGCGUGUGACAUACUUUCGACGUUGAAGGUGCAUUAUGAUUGCUAAUAAUUUGUGUUUCCCGCACAAGUACACAUUCAUUUUGGCGUUGCAGAUAGUUAGUAAAUGACAAUAGUAAAUGUACCUCGACAUUGCACAACUGAGUAGGCGAAUGCGAGGGGACUGCAGUAACCAUGUUAGGAAGUUGGACUUGGGUGGUGUCUUUGGGUAGAGGUUGAGUGUAAUUCCCAGAUUGCUCUCUUUCUCGACGUGCGCGCUGUGAUAGCUUACGUCGCGAGCACACACUACUAUCAAUGCGAUUUCGUUCACGUCUGGCGCGUUGGGCCUUAAUUUUAGAGGAAGCGAAAUUUGACGCGGGAGUCUAAAAUAGGAAGUGAUGUGUUGAAUAAGUUAAAUUUAUGACAGGAACAAAAAAAUUAAGAAAAUUAAAUAAGAAUCUAUAAUAUGUAAGAAUGACUAAAGAAACCAUUACAUAAUUUGGACAAUAUGUUAGCAGGUCCAAAAUCAAAUUCAUGUAAGAAUAGAGUCGUGUGUGCGUGAGAGAGAUGUGUAUAUCACCGACAAUAUAGUGUAUAUCGCUCUAACCAAAAUAAGGCAUUAGGUUAUCAUGUCCAAAAAGCAUUAAUUUUUAAAAUCAAAUUCAUAAUAAUACCACAACACAACAAUUCAACUCGAUGAUGGUAUGGUUUCGUCUGUGCGUGAGAGAGAAGGCUAAGGGUGAGAGUGAGACUGAGGGGUGAGGAACUAAAAAAUAUCAGCGAUAAUUUAGUGUAUAAUGCUCUAACCGAUUUUUAUCAACAGAUAAACAAUGAUUAGUACAACAUACCGGUUGAUUAAACCAAUUUUCUUUUCCAAUAGAACAACCAAUCUUUGCUUUCCCUUUCGUUGAAGAUGGAAUAAAACUUGGGUUGUUCAAGUGAUUCACAUGUGAAUUCUCCUAGGAAGUACAAAAUAAGACAUUAGUCAAAAAAUGCAAACUAAUAUCAAAAUGAAUUUUUUUAACAAUACCAGUAGCGUUACCUUAUCCAUAUGUAAUUGAUUAGACGCACAGGUAUGUUGUUACUAUCACUUAGAUCAACCUGUAAGAGCAAACUUAAUAAAUUAAACAUGAGUUAAACAUGAACAAAUGAAGAUGCAAAGACAGAUACAUUCAAUACUAUUGUUUUGAAGAUAGUUGAGGUUUUAAACUGUUGGAAGAUAGUUGUUACUACUGUUACUAUACAUUCAAUACUAUUGUUAUUAUACAUUCAAUACUAUUGUUUUGAAGAUAGUUGAGGUUAUAAACUAUUGAAGACAUUGAAUAUUAAUUUACUACUGCUGGGUAUAAGGAUCCUUUGGCAAUAAGAAUAUGUAAACAGUCAUUUUCCAUUCUUUACUUCUUUCUUUUUCUUGUUUUUCACCCAAUUAAUGAAGCCUCUUUGUGUUCUUUCUUUCGAUUCUUUUGAACAAAAACUCCAUUAACAACCUAUAUCAAAAAUGUAGCACAUGAAAUAGGAGCAAUAUAAAGAAUAGGAGCAAUUUAAAAAUGUAGCACAUGAAUUUUUGAUAUUUUCACAUGGUCCCUGUCACAUGAAGGUGGAACCUACUUUCUUCUCAUGUGAGGGGAUUAUGUAGAAAUAUCAAGAACACAUGCGAAAAUAUCAGUAUUAUUAUAAUUUUGAUUGUAUUUGUAAAUGGUUAGUAUGUUAAGAAUAAUUCAAAGAAUAGGAUGACAUAGUGUUUCCUUCUAUUACAUGCUAGUAAUCUUAUUGCAUCACAUUCGCAAAGGAAAGGUAGCUUAAAAGAAAAAUGGGUUAGCAUUAUUAUCAAGUUUUGAAGCUAAUAGAUUGAUAUGAUCUUUUAAGUUUAUCCAUGGUAAAAAGUGCUUAAAGGUAACUUUUAAUCAACAUUAAUAUUCAUUAGUUAUUGUAAACAAAUAUAAUACAACACAAUACAAAACAGCUAGUGUAAUUUCAUAGCUUAAAGAUCAUUAGUUAUUGUAAACAAAUAAAAAUAAAAAUUUAAUUUCACAAAAAGUUCAAAUAAAGGUCUUCCAUCUUCAUUCCUAUCCCACAUCUUCUAGAUUUUCAAUUAAUAUUAACUCAAUAUUCAACCUUUCAUAAAAUUCAAAAAAUGCAAAGAAAUUAUCAAAUGUAAUUAAAACAAAAGUAACUUAAAGUGGAGUUCAGAAAUUAAAGCAAAUUAAGAGAUGCUAAUGUAUUUUUCAUAAUAUUAAGACCAAAGAAAAUGGAAACUUCCUUUUUCUUUAUUAAUGUUGUGAGUGAUUACAUGCUGCCGAAUUAAUGAUCAUUUGGUUCAUCGAUAACUCAUUUUUAUUGGCAUAGAGGUCGAGAAUUAGAUUCUCGUUAAAAUUACGUUACAAAGAAAAGUUCAACAAAUGCAUGUCCAGGAGGCAGUCGUGCACUUUAAAAUUUGAAAACAGUAACUUAGCGUGAAAGUUACUAACAAUAACCUGUAAGUGUUUAUAUACUAACGAUAACCCAUGCAUGAAGGCACUGUAUAAUCAGUGUUUGCCUAAGAAUAUGGACACACACUAAACUAAUUGCAGUUGGUCCAAUCAGUGUUUGCCUUAUUCUAGCAGCUCUUUAUCAUAUUGCUUCCUAUUAUGUUAGUUUUUACCUCGGUACCAAUAUCUCCAACGGAGGAAAGCCUUCUCCCUGAGCCUCAAACACAAGAUUCGAGUAAAACUAAGCACAAUGUAAAUGAGAAAACCUCAUAAAUAGAUUCACUGACCUAACCAGUAUCCUUUAAUUCUUCGUGGCAUACACCAGUUCUCAUUUAAGGUAGCUUUCAAUGUAUCUAAACAAACAUGAGGGAGAUAGAAAAAAGAUACAAAAUGCACAUGGUGAGUAAAGCUUAAUAGAGAAAUUCCACUAUGAUUCUCACAAAAAGAUCAAAAGCAGAAGCAGGAUAUUCCACUAUGGUGAGUAAAGCUUAAAUUUUUAGCUGUUUAUAAUCAUUUUUAUUUGGGCUUUCAUUCAUUUUCAUCCAAUAUGUCAUAUGAUAAUGUUCCUUUUACUCAUUUUCAUCCAAUGUGUUAAUUUCAAGUGGAGUUUCGGUGCAGCCAAAGCAGAAAACUGGGUUAGUACAAGGAGGGUCUCAAUUCCAUCAAUGGAAUUCUCCCGCACAGUCUUUACAGGGAAUGCAAGCAAUGGGAAUGAUGGGAUCUUUUAACUUAGGCUCACAAAUGUUAGGAAAUGGGUCACUCACGUAUGCACAACAGCGUAUGAAUCAAGGACAAAUGAGGCAGCAAGGCCUCAUUUUUGGUCAAACCAGACACUAUAAAGUGUAGCUUGUCACUUAUGAGGGCAUCCAAACAUUUAAGCAAAGUUACUCAGUGUUCAAUGGUGAAUGGUGAAUUUCCUAACAUGAGUAAUAUCGAGCUCAAUGGUGAAUUUCCUGUGCAGGAAUUUUGAGAUUGGGUUUAAUGGAUGAAGGAACUAUAUGUCCUGUGCAAAAUGGUGAAUUUCCUGUGCAAAAUAAAGUUACUCAAUGUUAAUUUUUUUUUAAAGUAAAAAAAAAUAGUCACACCCAAUCUCUCCUACCCCCACCCUCUCUAUUUUUUUUGUUUACCUAAAGUUUAGAGGGCAAAGUUUGGACUAUAGUUGACACUUUACAUUUCUUACAUUUGUUGUUUCAUCAUUAGUUGCUGCUGAAACUGUAAACAACCCAAAACAUUAGUUUCUCAACCCAAAACUGUAAACUGGUUAGCUUGAUGUAAUUUGGCACAUCGACGUGCAUCACAACUACUAAUAUUACUGCUACUGCUGCUACUAAUUUUUAUCUAAUAAACACAUCAAAACUACCAACACAUUGCAAGCAUGAAUUUUGUAGCUUACAUUUAAGCUAGUGUCAUAAUUACCAAUAGAAAAUACCAUAACAAUAGCUAAAUAGUUCAUUAAUGCAACUUUGAUGUACUCUUGCAAUAAGCAGAUAGCUAAUGCUUCCAGUGGAAGAGCACGUGGAGAUACAUGAACAUACAACAGUUUCAAAAUACCGGAAUACCCAAAUGAAGCGUCACUUACCCAAUCAUAGUUCUUAGCAAGAAAUUCAGCUACAGUUGAUUUAUGCCUUGUACAGAGUUCCUGCAACAAUUAUGUUACAAAGAAUCACUGUAAUUCUAAGGCCUAUGCACAUAAACACAAAUCAAAUGACUACUAAAUAUACAUAAUUGCCGUUCAAAAUCUAGGCAUCAACAUAGAAAAAACAAACAAAAUGUAACCACAAUAACUCCCCCAGUUUUAUCCUCCUUUCAUUAUCCCACAAAAACCAAAUGUAACAAUAGAAGAGUGCAAAAGGAAUCUAUAACAAUAGAAGAAUAUACAAAUUUUAUGCGGUCCAAUUCCAAAAGUAAACCAAGUUAACUAACAAAAUACAAAAAGAACAGAUCAAUCGGCUAAAAAAAAACUAUGAACUAUACCUCAAAUGUGAUCUUGAGAGGCUCAUCAACUGUAAUAAGAGAGGAAAAAAAAAACAAAAAGCAAAUGUUAGGGUUUUGGAAAUCUGACUUGACCCAGUUCAAAAAAACUAAAACCCAAAUCCCAAAUUUCUCUGAUUCAACUCCAUGUCUCUGAAAAAAGUUGAAAAUUUGAGCAGAUUGAUUUGCUUUGGGCAAGUUGUAAACCCACCAGAAAUAAAAAAAAUAGAAGGAAGAUGUCCGCCGGCUUGAUCGCAUCAAUAAUCCCCUGCGAUGAAGAUGUCCUCUGCGAUGAAGAUUGAGCUGCAACUUUUUCUCUACUCGGCGUGUAGCAAUUUUUGAAAUCAGAGCCGAUCUGUUUGAAAUAAGAGGUAUAAGGAGAGUUUUUUAAAUAUGAGCCGAUCUGAUUUUUGCAGAGUUUCAUACAUCUAGCUUGGUAAACUUUACUCUCUCAUGAAAAGUAAAGUUUAUUUAAGUUAUUUAUAUAUUAAAGCAAAUUCAUACAUCUAGCUUAGUAAGGCAUAGUAGCAAAUUAUGAUAUUAUGAAUACAAAUAGCCCUUACAGUAGUACAUGUGGUCAGGAGCGUUGGUGCUUACAGGCGAUUGAAUAACAUAUAGCAAAGUAGUAUGGAAUAAACAUUAAAAAAAGUAACAACAAUUUAGAGAAAAUAAAGGCUUGAGCUUCUUCAACAAAAAAUUAUAGAAAGAAUACCCAAUACAAUUAUCUGCACAGAGAGGAUGAUACAAAGAAAAUUUGAAACAAAAAUAAUAGGGAACUUACAAGAUUUAAAGGGUUAAGAUUUCAUCAGGUGAUUGUGUGAGAGAGAUCUAGAGAAUUGAAGUGAAACCCCCAAUUUAGCACUGCUUCAAACGAAUCUUACCGCGAAAAAUCUGAGAAAACCCCUAACUACAGGAAGAACCAGCCAAAAAUAAAACAGUAUAAUCUAUAAGGAAGAACUUAGUCUUGCAAAAUCCAUCAAUUUUUCAUAUAGGGCUUCUCAGAGAUAGUCGUAUCUUUGUAUCCAGAGCUUCUCAAAGAUGGUGCAAAAUCAUUUUACGCUCUCUGGUUCUUCCGUAGCCUUACUUUUCCUUUCCAAGUUCCUCUCUCCCCUCAAACUC
rnacentral:lncRNA from 1 species